rnacentral:tRNA from 1 species
GCGGAAAUGGCGGAAUUGGGAGACGCACCAGAUUUAGGUUCUGGCGCCGUAAGGUGUGAGAGUACAAGUCUCUCCUUCCGCACCA